rnacentral:rRNA from 1 species
GAUGAACGCUGGCGGCGUGCCUAAUACAUGCAAGUCGAGCGAACAGACGAGGAGCUUGCUCCUCUGACGUUAGCGGCGGACGGGUGAGUAACACGUGGAGAACCUACCUAUAAGACUGGGAUAACUUCGGGAAACCGGAGCUAAUACCGGAUAAUAUAUUGAACCGCAUGGUUCAAUAGUGAAAGACGGUUUUGCUUUCACUUAUAGAUGGAUCCGCGCCGCAUUAGCUAGUUGGUAAGGUAACGGCUUACCAAGGCAACGAUGCGUAGCCGACCUGAGAGGGUGAUCGGCCACACUGGAACUGAGACACGGUCCAGACUCCUACGGGAGGCAGCAGUAGGGAAUCUUCCGCAAUGGGCGAAAGCCUGACGGAGCAACGCCGCGUGAGUGAUGAAGGUCUUCGGAUCGUAAAACUCUGUUAUUAGGGAAGAACAAAUGUGUAAGUAACUAUGCACGUCUUGACGGUACCUAAUCAGAAAGCCACGGCUAACUACGUG